CAAUAGCGUAUAUUUAAGUUGUUGCAGUUAAAAAGCUCGUAGUUGGAUUUCGGGUGGGACGCAGCGGUCUCGCAUUGCGUUUGUACUGCUGCAGCCCUCCUUCUUGCCGGGGGCGGCCUCUCGGACUUCACUGUCUGGGGGUCAGAAUCGGCGAUGUUACUUUGAGUAAAUUAGAGUGUUCAAAGCAAGCUUACGCUCUGAAUAUAAUAGCAUGGGAUAACACGACAGGACUCUGGCCUAUCGUGUUGGUCUAUAGGACCAGAGUAAUGAUUAAGAGGGACAGUCGGGGACAUUCGUAUUUCAUUGUCAGAGGUGAAAUUCUUGGAUUUAUGAAAGACGGACUUCUGCGAAAGCAUUUGUCAAGGAUGUUUUCAUUAA
rnacentral:rRNA from 1 species